rnacentral:lncRNA from 1 species
AAAGAGUGUAUAAAUGUAGGAACUUUGUAAAGUCUGAGGACAAAACAGGGAACACAGAACACCGCCACCAGACCAUAAAACAAAAUUAGAAAUCAAUCAUAAAGUCAAAACUUCCAAUUUAUCAGUUGAAGACU